UAUCUAAUAAAAAGUCCUUAUUUAGACAAAAAUUAGAAUGGAAGUACUAUAUGGUAGUCAAUAUACAUUAAUUAUUUGCACAUUUUAAACACAGCUGUUGUCAGUCUGACUUAUGUUUCUAUCUUAGAAUAAUACAUAACAAAUGACAGAUUAAUAUAAAACUCAGUAUCCUCAGCAGUCUUAGCAGAUUAAAAUCAAGUGCACUUUCACUACAAAUGCAGGUCCCAAAAGCCCUUUGCACUUACAUAUCAUACACAUUCAAACCACACCUCUUCUCUCCCUCCCCAAUUAAACUCCAGUGUUAUUAUUGCUAAUUUUGGUGCCAGUGUUUGUAACCGCUGCAGGGUGUGAAUCAGCAAAACCUGAGACAAAACAUUGAAGUAAGCCUUCCAACAGAAAACCAAGUGGAGAUGGUCUUAUUUAUCAUUAACGCCUGCAGCUAUGUGGUGAGGAAGAUCAGAGCUGCCCUCACCAGUGCUGACCAGCCAGUCAAGCCUUCCAAAGCAUCAUGUAGCCAGGCUAAAGAACGAAAGGGAGUCGGGGAGCAGUAUAAACAAGUGCCAGUCAUGAGCAGGGAACCUCCCAGUGGAAGAGCUGUUCAGGAAUGCGGUUCUUGAAGAUAAAGGUUACACACUGUCCGUGGAGGAAGGAGGGAUAAUGAUACCAGAACAUGAGUCAUGUCAGCAAGCUCAAAAAAGUAAUCCUGCAAAAAAUAAAUAAAUAAAGUUUAAUGAUAUCAUAGCUUUGUCAAUUUUAAAUAAUAUAGAUUUAAAAAAAUCUGCAUUUUAUUUAGGGAAAUAUACCCGACAGAGCCCCUUCCAUCUCUCCUCAACCAAUGCCUCCCUCCCUUCCUCUCUCCUGCUCAGUGUAGAACCUCUUAAUUAAAAAGCUCACUAUCUCUGCCCAGCAAGUGAAUGAAGACUUGAUCAUAAACUCUUUGUUAUGGGAGGUGAUCAGGUCUGAAGAAAUAGUUUUUGC